GGUGGUAAUGCCGGAUGCUCCAGUUGAUCGCAUGGUCUUCUGGGAAAGCUUUCGCGGUAUGGGAUGGGGUCGCGUCCUAUCAGCUUGACGGCGGGGUAACGGCCCACCGUGGCUUCGACGGGUAGCCGGCCUGAGAGGGCGACCGGCCACAUUGGGACUGAGAUACGGCCCAGACUCCUACGGGAGGCAGCAGUGGGGAAUAUUGCACAAUGGGCGCAAGCCUGAUGCAGCGACGCCGCGUGAGGGAUGGAGGCCUUCGGGUUGUAAACCUCUUUUAUCGGGGAGCAAGCGAGAGUGAGUUUACCCGUUGAAUAAGCACCGGCUAACUACGUGCCAGCAGCCGCGGUAAUACGUAGGGUGCAAGCGUUAUCCGGAAUUAUUGGGCGUAAAGGGCUCGUAGGCGGUUCGUCGCGUCCGGUGUGAAAGUCCAUCGCUUAACGGUGGAUCCGCGCCGGGUACGGGCGGGCUUGAGUGCGGUAGGGGAGACUGGAAUUCCCGGUGUAACGGUGGAAUGUGUAGAUAUC
rnacentral:rRNA from 2 species